rnacentral:tRNA from 1 species
GAGGGUAUAGCUCAGUGGUAGAGUACAUGUAGCAUCAUGAGGUCCCAGGUUCAAUCUCCUGGUACCUCCA